rnacentral:rRNA from 1 species
AGACACGGCCCAGACUCCUACGGGAGGCAGCAGUAGGGAAUCUUCCGCAAUGGACGAAAGUCUGACGGAGCAACGCCGCGUGAGUGAUGAAGGUUUUCGGAUCGUAAAGCUCUGUUGUUAGGGAAGAACAAGUGCGAGAGUAACUGCUCGCACCUUGACGGUACCUAACCAGAAAGCCACGGCUAACUACGUGCCAGCAGCCGCGGUAAUACGUAGGUGGCAAGCGUUGUCCGGAAUUAUUGGGCGUAAAGGGCUCGCAGGCGGUUUCUUAAGUCUGAUGUGAAAGCCCCCGGCUCAACCGGGGAGGGUCAUUGGAAACUGGGAAACUUGAGUGCAGAAGAGGAGAGUGGAAUUCCACGUGUAGCGGUGAAAUGCGUAGAGAUGUGGAGGAACACCAGUGGCGAAGGCGACUCUCUGGUCUGUAACUGACGCUGAGGAGCGAAAGCGUGGGGAGCGAACAGGAUUAGAUACCCUGGUAGUCCACGCCGUAAACGAUGAGUGCUAAGUGUUAGGGGGUUUCCGCCCCUUAGUGCUGCAGCUAACGCAUUAAGCACUCCGCCUGGGGAGUACGGUCGCAAGACUGAAACUCAAAGGAAUUGACGGGGGCCCGCACAAGCGGU